rnacentral:lncRNA from 1 species
UUGAGACCCACGGAACUUAACUUGGCCACCGCGUCACGUGACCUUUCCUGAUCCGAGUCCCGGGAUUUAUUCAACUCCAAAAGAUAGCGCUCAGGAAGAAUUCUCCAGUUUGUAUUCUGAGAAGACAUGAAGUGAGAUAUGAGAAAGGAAGAAGAACCAAGCAUUGCAGCAUAAACCUGAAAUCCUAGCACUCGGGAGGUUGGAGCCACAGGACUUUCUAUCAGUUCAAGGACACUCUGGGAUACAUAGCAGAGCUCAUAUGGUAGACAGUGGCCAGAAUCCGCGCAUAGGAUGAGAUAACCACAGAGAAAGGAAUCAACAGCAUCAGAACGCAGCACACAUACAUCACCGUCUCAUAGAGGGCUGUGUCUGC